AUCCAGCUGACGAGUGCCAAGUAAGACGAAACGCACGUCCUGGAU
rnacentral:hammerhead_ribozyme from 1 species